rnacentral:lncRNA from 1 species
AGAACCUGCAGCACGCAGUUUUUCUAAUUAUCAUAAGUACUAAAUGUAUUUUAAAUGAAGGAAUACUAAUUUUGUUAAAGGCUUAAACCUUUACGAGAAAUUACAUUUUAGAAAAACGAAUAGUGGGAAAACUGUUGACUCGUUUAUUUCUGUUGACUUAUUUAUAUAUUAUUUGUGCAAACGUGCAUUUAAACGUCCGUGUUUACGCAGUCGAGGACCAAAAGUAAUGUACAGUAUGCUAUCGCUUAUAAAUAGUUUUAUCAAACAUUAUACUCUUGUAGUGGCAUAAUAUUUGUAGAUCGUUGUCCUGAAGGCAGCCGAGCAGCAGCUUCACCUUUUGGCCCAAUUGGUGCGGCCGGCUCCACGCCAGGCAUUUCAGGUUGCUCGUGUCCUUAGAUUGGAUGGGAGUGCCUUCGGAGAGAAGAUCAGGGUUCCCCCCUCCCGCUGUAACCCCCCCCUUUCCCCCAGCAGCACAGACAAAGCCUGUGAUAUCAUGCCCUAUUCCCCGUGGCUGCUAGAUUCUGUGGGGAGAGACUCUUCCAACAGCACAGAGCUGCUCUUCAAUCUGACUUCAGCGAUCCCUUCUUUCAACACCUCGUUCCUGGACUUGGGCAACCUCACCAGCUUCAAUGCCCUCGGCGGUUCAGCUUCUGCAUUAACCACCUGCAGUUCUCCAGGGUCUCAGCGCGCCAGGGCUACAAUGCAGGGCAGGGCUCUUAGAGACUCGUAAUUGAAUUGAAAAGCACAGCAGAAAUCCACGAAGGCCAUUUCUGAUUCUCCUCCUGCAGCGUCGCUCCAAAAAUAUUGCAGUGUUGAGUUCCGCGUGACGUUUUUGAAGUUCAGCUGGCAGAGCUGUGGAGCUGAAGGGUUUUAAAUUUUG